UACGGGGGAGCAAGCGUUGUUCGGAUUUACUGGGCGUAAAGGGCGCGUAGGCGGCCACCGGCAAGUCGACUGUGAAAUCUCCGGGCUUAACCCGGGAAAGGUCAGCCGAUACUGCGGGGCUAGAGUGCAGAAGGGGCAACUGGGAAUUCUCGGUGUAGCGGUGAAAUGCGUAGAUAUCGAGAGGAACACCUGCGGCGAAGGCGGGUUGCUGGGCUGACACGUGACGUGAUGCGCGAAAGCUAGGGGAGCGAACGGGG
rnacentral:rRNA from 1 species